CGGGAUGUGGCUCAGCUUGGAAGAGCGCUCGGUUCGGGACCGAGAGGUCGGCGGUUCAAAUCCGCCCAUCCCGACCA
rnacentral:tRNA from 1 species